UCACAGAGAAAAUAAUCGAACCUCGAUUCCUCCAAUCGCGCGUUCGCCAAAGGAAAAAAUGGCUGACAGCAGUGGACCGAGUGGAGCUGCCCGCUCAGGAGAAACAUCACAGAACAUGGAGCUAUUUGGAACUGACUGGGAAAUGUUUGAUGCUGUGCACGAGGAACCAUAUGGAGUUCAAGUCCAGGAAAUUGAGUGCCCUCUGACUCCGCAUAUUAUGGAAACUGUACAGUCCAUGAUAAAUCCCUUGGCCUCAUCAGAGUCAUUUGGCAGAGACAUUUACAUAACAAUGGUUCAGUGUAUUGAAAGUCUAAUGGCAACACAAGAAAUGCCUGAGAUAUAACAUGAUCUUGCAAAAGAUUUUAAUAGCAUAAACUAAAGGUAAACAUUUGCAGUCUACUUGUUAAAAAAGACUUGCUCUGACAUCUGUUCAAUUUAACAUGAGAUAGGAGUCCCAAACAUUUUUACUGAGAACUUUCCGAUGAAAUUUCUAUUCAUCAGAAUUAAAUUGGACUUUUCUAAAACAAAAUGACUGUGGGUAUUCCAAAGAGCAACAUGGCGAUUACAGAAAAGGAAGGAAGCUGUCACAAAAAUGACCAGAAUAAAACAUAUGAUCUGACAUGUC